GGGAUCCACUACCCAAUGAUUUGGAAUUGUUGAGUUUGUUUAAGAACACAUGUUUUAUAUUACUGACAAUUUAUAUCAACUUCUGUUGCGUAUCCUAUCGUGGGACCAUUGUUCCACCUUCCAAUAACGGUCACAAUUUACUAAUACAGAAUUCUGAAGUUAGUACUAAAUGUUCUUCCACUAGGAAAUUAAAAUUAAAAAGCAUUGUUGAAAAUUAAUUUCUGAAUAAGCACACACAGAUUGAUGGGAGGAUUAGACUUUGUCACGUUUCCCAUUAAUGCCAACUCCAAAUGAAUGUAUUAUAAUUACAUAUGUUAUGGAGCUUUUUAAAUUGUAGCAGCUGAAUAAUAUAUCAAAAUUACUUAGUGUCGAUCUUGUUCUUCCCGGUUUCGAGGUGCUAAAGGACGUAUUUCAAAUUGUCAAGUAGCGUUAUUGUUCUUGUAAUCAAGGCCAAGAAUAUAGGUUUGAUGUCUUAUUGCUGAAAAAAAAUGAUCUGGCUGUAAUAUGAUAAAAGCACUCUAAAUGUCUUUGUCCAAAUAUUAGACAUUUAUUUGAUUGCAUACUGAAAAUAUUUGGCUCCUUGGAGAUGUUGGAAUAAUUGUUCUAUCACUAAAUAGCUCUUGGCUACAGGAGAGCGGGAGAGAAGUUCACAAGCCGUAGCUCAAUUAUUAAAUUAAUAUAAUGUUAUAUUCAUGGAUAUAAAAUUUACCAUCUAAGCUUACAAUCUAAUAUGGGGGAGGCCAUACAUGGAAACUCUUCUGUAUGCUACCAGUAUGUCCUUAUUAUCGAACCAAGGAAAGUUAAUCUGUAAUAUAAUUUUUGUCCAUAAAACGGCAAAUGCAGAAUUUGAAUAGAGUUUGAAGAACAUUAAUACAAAGGAAAUUAUUACUUA